rnacentral:lncRNA from 1 species
UAUGAAAACUGUGUAUGACAGAAAUUUUUGUGUUUGUAGUGAUUUCAUUUUCUCUGCAAUGUGAUGAAACGACUAAAUUGUCAGAAGAGAGAGGUAACUCUAUUUCCAGAUUGUUUUGCGGUUUUUUUUUCUCUCACUCCAACUUAAUAUUACAGUCAAAGAUUUAGGGAAAAAAGAUAAAUGCAAAUCAAACAUCCGUUCUCUGUUUUGUCUGACCUCAGCGUUUGAAGAGAACAGCACAACACCACAAACAGAUGAGUCGGAGUAUGAGGCUGCUCAUGUGAAAGAUGGAGAGACAAAGGCAGUGACAGACACUACAGGUAAACGGAAUGACUUUUUUCAAAACUUUAUUUUCUGGAAAGAUCCAUUCAGUACAGAGAUAUUGAUAUUGCAUUGCGUCAUACAAUAAAUAAAUGUAAAAAUAUAAGACAAAUACAUAUGCAACAGAUGGAUAGAUAGACAAAUAACAAAUUGCAUUUGAUCAAUAUAAACAUUAUAUAUUACAGAGGAGGAAAAUGGUGAAGAAUCAGAAGGUAAGACAUUUCUGGCCCUGUUUAUCUCCCUUUUGUUGCUCAUGGUCAUUGUUAAAAAUCAUUGAUUCAUAUUUGUGGUCAUUAACUGAUUUUUAUAGAGAACAAAUUGCUUGAGAAGGAAGAUAGUGAUGGUAAGGUGACACAUAUGUUUUACCAGUUAUACAAUUAGAUUAGAUUAGAUGGAUUCAACUUUAUUAAAGUACAAGAAUAGAGCCAAUGCAGUUAGUUAGUUAUUAUUGCUAUUAUUAUUCAUUUGUCUCUUUAUUCUCUGUGGAUAACCCUAUAGAUGGUGAGAGAGAGGCACUAGCAGACUCUACAGGUAUUUUUUUUUGUAGAAAGAUAUGCAUUCUUUACAGAACAUUAUAAACAAUGCAUUGCAGCAUACGGCACUUGCCACAAAUAGGGCCUGAAAAAAAUCGUAUUUUCUUUUGAAACAAAUAAU